rnacentral:rRNA from 1 species
ACGGGUGAGUAACACGUGGGAACGUGCCUUUAGGUUCGGAAUAGCUCCUGGAAACGGGUGGUAAUGCCGAAUGUGCCCUUCGGGGGAAAGAUUUAUCGCCUUUAGAGCGGCCCGCGUCUGAUUAGCUUGUUGGUGGGGUAAUGGCCCACCAAGGCUACGAUCAGUAGCUGGUCUGAGAGGAUGACCAGCCACAUUGGGACUGAGACACGGCCCAAACUCCUACGGGAGGCAGCAGUGGGGAAUCUUGCGCAAUGGGCGAAAGCCUGACGCAGCCAUGCCGCGUGUAUGAUGAAGGUCUUAGGAUUGUAAAAUACUUUCACCGGUGAAGAUAAUGACUGUAGCCGGAGAAGAAGCCCCGGCUAACUUCGUGCCAGCAGCCGCGGUAAUACGAAGGGGGCUAGCGUUGCUCGGAAUUACUGGGCGUAAAGGGAGCGUAGGCGGACAUUUAAGUCAGGGGUGAAAUCCCGGAGCUCAACUCCGGAACUGCCCUUGAUACUGGGUGUCUUGAGUGUGAGAGAGGUAUGUGGAACUCCGAGUGUAGAGGUGAAAUUCGUAGAUAUUCGGAAGAACACCAGUGGCGAAGGCGACAUACUGGCUCAUUACUGACGCUGAGGCUCGAAAGCGUGGGGAGCAAACAGGAUUAGAUACCCUGGUAGUCCACGCCGUAAACGAUGAUUGCUAGUUGUCGGGGAGUUUACUUCUCGGUGACGCAGCUAACGCAUUAAGCAAUCCGCCUGGGGAGUACGGUCGCAAGAUUAAAACUCAAGGAAUUGACAGGGGCCCGCACAAGCGGUGGAGCA